rnacentral:pre_miRNA from 1 species
UCUUCAUUUCACGUGCUCUCUCACAGGUCAGAGAGGCGAGAGAGCAAACGUAAUGAGGAGA